AGAGAGCGUAGGUACUUAGUUUCCAUUCUUGGGUACGCAUCGUUCAUGAGAGCUUGUCUGCGUGAAGCUCUCUGCAAUACCACGAUGGCGGAGCGUCAUUUGAAGGUGUGGGUAUGUCGAGACUCGCUCCUUGGAUUCUCCUAAAAUGCCACUACAAGAAGGAAAUGCAGAUUGAGGGCGUUGAGGGAGGGAACGAAGAUGAUUCCAUCCAGAAUCGAUAACCCUAAACGGCACCCACUGUUAGUUUUAGUACAGGACAGUCGUCCUUCUCAGCUGGCGAGAGCUUAGAACUGUUCAUCCAUCCAUCAGGGUUUGGGAUUUUAGGGCGAAGGAAGCUUGUGAGGCUGCACUUCUUAUUCACUGAAGUUCCACUGGCUCCUCGAAUCUGAUAGAAUUGAAGCUGGGGGUUUGCUCCCAUUUCGAGGGUUGUGCCGCAGUGAGAUGGCCAGUUCUGAGCCGAAUUGCACACUGAGAUCACAGGCUGCUCCUUCACUGAUCAGGUUAAUUUGAAGGUUUUAGCUUCAGCAUGUCUGAAUACGCUAGUGGCGAUGAUGGAGAUGAUUCCAUUGACGACGAAGAAGGGGUGGUCGAGGAAAUGAUCAACGACUGAAAACCGACAUUUUUUGGAUUUGUCACGCUGAGUGUCAAUCCAUACGAAAUUAGAAUGUAGAUCUUAUGUUGUGUGGGGUUGUCUGAAUUAGGGAUAAUAACUAACUGCUCAUUAAGUCUCUUUUAGGCAUGUGUCUGGUUGAUUUGGCCGACUUAGCGCAGUAGCCUCCCACUGACCUAGAUCAUCAUUGCGCUGCAGCCCUAUGUUGAUUGGUUUGAGUGCGAGGAUAAAGGCAAUCACUUAACAAGCGCUCCGGAACCUAAACGAAGAUAUACUCUAUCAAAAUGUAACUCUUAGAAGGAAGGGAUCCUGAGACCCAAGGAAGAACCUGAGUGUUAUCGUGCGUGAGGUGAUGAUCUGAGAACGUCAGACGAGAAUGCCAAUGGACCCACGUACAUUCCAGCUUCAAAACUCUAACUACCAGGCAUGUCGAUUCCUCACCUUUGGCUCCUUUGCAACUUCAAUUGUUGCCUGAACGGAACUAAGCUUCUUUGAGUACUUGGUUUUCAUGUUCUUAGGUCGUUAUUCACAUAAUUAACUAGAAUGUCCUUUGGUGUUGGACAUGGUGAAUCAAACUCGGGGAUUAUUUGUUUCAUUUAUGGAAUGUGGAGGUGAAUUUGCAGCUGUUAUUCCAUUGUUUACUGACAAUUCUGGGUAAUGGGUUGCGAUACGUGCCUAAACCAUGAUACUUUGAGUUCAUUUAUUUAUUCUAUAUGAAUACUUUUACUUGAUUUAACAACUUUUACAGGUGUACGAAGGUUUUUGAUUUUGACGAUUGUGCACGAUUCCGUAUGAUAGAGGCUUUUGUCGUGUUAUUACCACAUGCUUUAUGUUUUUUCCGUUAGAUGACGUGGCAAAAGAUGAGAAACUUUUCAUGAUGCUACAUGCUAGCACAACUGAUUGUAAGUUAAAAGUAGCCUGAUGCCUCGAACUACCAUCUAUCUAAGUCAGUGACGGAUAUAGUUCACCCUGAUCUGAAGGAAACUGUUAUGGCAAUUGAUGACAAACUUUUCACGAUGCCUGUAAUGGGCAGUUGAGUGCAAAGUUAAAUAUAGCCUGAUGCCUCAAUCCAAGAGUAUUUGUUUUAGUCAAAAACCUCAAAUCCAGAUGCCGGGAUUUCUGAUUCUGUGUUUAAGGGAUGUUGCAUUUAGCAUAUUGCUAUUAACGUCACCACGGGUGACUGAGAGUUACCAGCUUACUAGUUGUUUUGAUUUUGUUGCAGCUUUUAAGACUCCUAUUUAGUAAUGUUGGCCAGUUAUGUACUUGGGGUUUUCCUUUUCUUAAUUCUUUUUUCCUGUUGGGUGCGUUGGCAAAAGAUGAAAAACUCUUCAUGAUGCUACAUGCUAGCACAGCUGAUUGCAAGUUAAAAGUAGCCUGAUGCCUCGAACUACCACCUAUCUAAGUCAGUGACGGAUGUACUUCACCCUGACCUAAAUCAGUUUAACCUUGCUCCAAUUCUUCCAUUUUCAUUGAUAAAUGAAAAAGAAAUUGUAAUGGCAAGUGAUGCUAAACUUUUCAUGAUGCUUAUAGUGGGCAUUUGAGUGCAAAGUUAAAAGUAGCCUGAUGCCUGAAUCCAAGAGUAAUUGUUUUGGUCUAAAGUUUACAUUCCGGUAUGUGUUCAAGUGAUGCAUUUAGCAGGUUGCUGUCAACUUAACUACGAUCGAGGUUGAGAGCCUAUAAAUCUUGUUCAAAGUUCAGAUUUCAAGAAUGCUGAAGAGUACAAGAAGUGUCACCCAUGGCAACAUCAAUAGAGGUAUCCUAUAAGGCUUAAUGUGAUGCGUUAUUUUGUUGGGUGUCAAUACCUAUUAUUUGUUCUAUUUUGUCCUUGAAUUGUAUUGAUCUAUUUUUAGACAAAAAUUUAAGAAUUCAUUCAUUGAUAUCAUCGACACCAUUGAUGUGUGUGGAUAAAAUGAACCAAUUUGUUACAUAUGCAGUAAUGGAUGGUUUUUCAACUUGCAAUCUGAUGUAAAUUGUAUCAAUUGUAGACUCAAAAAUUGAGGCCAAAUUUAGUAUAUUUAGUGGAAGUACUUACUUUUUAAUGGAUCAAUCAUAUUCAAAGCAUUUCUUAUC